CUCAGGAUGAACGCUGGCGGCGUGCUUAACACAUGCAAGUCGAGCGAAGCACUUUUUUAGAACUCUUCGGAGGGAAGAGAGGGUGACUUAGCGGCGGACGGGUGAGUAACGCGUGGGCAACCUGCCUUACACAGGGGGAUAACAAUUAGAAAUGAUUGCUAAUACCGCAUAAGACCCCAGUGCCGCAUGGUACAGGGGUAAAAACUGAGGUGGUGUAAGAUGGGCCCGCGUCUGAUUAGGUAGUUGGUGGGGUAGAAGCCUACCAAGCCGACGAUCAGUAGCCGACCUGAGAGGGCGACCGGCCACAUUGGGACUGAGACACGGCCCAAACUCCUACGGGAGGCAGCAGUGGGGAAUAUUGCACAAUGGGGGAAACCCUGAUGCAGCGACGCCGCGUGAGUGAAGAAGUAUUUCGGUAUGUAAAGCUCUAUCAACAGGGAAGAAAAUGACUGUACCUGACUAAGAAGCCCCGGCU
rnacentral:rRNA from 1 species